CCUGAAUUAGUAAUUUUAAGGAAAUUUUGCUGUUUUUGGUUAUUAUCUUGAAUAUUAUUAUAGAUAGAGAUAAACAGUAAACAGCAAUAAUGUUCAGCAAAGUAAGAUUUACAAAUAAGUCAACAUGACUGAAAUGUUCAGUUGACCCCUUUAGGAGUUAUUGCCCUUUAUAGUCAAUUUUUAACCAUUUUUCGUAAAUCUUAGUAAUAUUUUACAAAAAUCUUCUCCUCUGAAACUACUGGGCUAAAUUAAUCCAAACUUGGCCACAAUCAUCUUUUAGGUUAGUAGUUUGAAAAAUGUGUCCGGUGACCCGGCCAUCAAACCAAGAUGGCCGCCAUGGCUAAAAAUAGAACAUGGGGUAAAAUGCAGUUUUUGGCUUAUAACUCAACAUCCAAAGCAUUUAGAGCAAAUCUGACAUGGGGUAAAAUUGUUUAUCAGUUCAAGAUCUAUCUGCCCUGAAAUUUUCAGAUGAAUCGGACAACCCGUUGUUGGGUUGCUGGCCCUGAAUUAGUAAUUUUAAGGAAAUUUUGCUGUUUUUGGUUAUUAUCUUGAAUAUUAUUAUAGAUAGAGAUAAACUAUAAACAGCAAUAAUGUUUCACCAAAGUAAGAUUUACAAAUAAGUCAACAUGACUGAAAUGGUCAGUUGACCCCUUUAGGAGUUAUUGCCCUUUAUAGUCAAUUUUUAACCAUUUUU
rnacentral:lncRNA from 1 species